UACGGGGGGGGCAAGCGUUGUUCGGAAUUACUGGGCGUAAAGGGCUCGUAGGCGGCCAACUAAGUCAGACGUGAAAUCCCUCGGCUUAACCGGGGAACUGCGUCUGAUACUGGAUGGCUCGAGUUUGGGAGAGGGAUGCGGAAUUCCAGGUGUAGCGGUGAAAUGCGUAGAUAUCUGGAGGAACACCGGUGGCGAAGGCGGCAUCCUGGACCAACACUGACGCUGAGGAGCGAAAAGCCAGGGGAGCAAAGCGGGG
rnacentral:rRNA from 1 species